UACGUAGGGUGCAAGCGUUGUCCGGAAUCAUUGGGCGUAAAGCGCGUGUAGGCGGUUCGGUAAGUCCGCUGUGAAAGUCGGGGGCUCAACCCUCGGAUGCCGGUGGAUACUGUCGAGCUUGAGUACGGAAGAGGCGAGUGGAAUUCCUGGUGUAGCGGUGAAAUGCGCAGAUAUCAGGAGGAACACCAAUUGCGAAGGCAGCUCGCUGGGACGUUACUGACGCUGAGGAGCGAAAGCAUGGGGAGCGAACAGG
rnacentral:rRNA from 1 species